rnacentral:rRNA from 1 species
UACGGAGGGUGCAAGCGUUAUUCGGAAUUACUGGGCGUAAAGCGUGCGCAGGCGGUUGCGUAAGUCAGGUGUGAAAGCCCCGGGCUCAACCUGGGAAUUGCAUUUGAGACUGCGUAGCUAGGGUGCGGAAGAGGGAAGCGGAAUUUCCGGUGUAGCGGUGAAAUGCGUAGAUAUCGGAAGGAACACCAGUGGCGAAAGCGGCUUCCUGGUCCAGCACCGACGUUCAGGCACGAAAGCGUGGGGAGCAAACAGG